rnacentral:tRNA from 1 species
UGGGGCGUAGCCAAGCGGUAAGGCAACGGGUUUUGGUCCCGUGACCCCAGGUUCGAAUCCUGGCGCCCCAGCCA